UGGUGCAAGCCCAAAGCUCAUGAACAG
rnacentral:piRNA from 1 species